AGCCCCGUAGUGUAGCGGUCAAUCAUCUCGCCCUCUGGAGGCGGGGACGGCGGUUCGAAUCCGCCCGGGGCUA
rnacentral:tRNA from 1 species